GGGCCCGUAGCUCAAUGGGUUAGAGCGGCGGACUCAUAAUCCGCGGGUUGCAGGUUCGAGUCCUGCCGGGCCCA
rnacentral:tRNA from 1 species